CGAAGAGUCUGCUUGCGAGCGGAGAAACUCCAUUGUUUGCGUCAUUUUUUCAAUAGAAUCCGGGGAGGCAGGAGUACCCAAAGAUAUCUCAGUCGGCUCCUGCAACCCUAGUACCUUCAACUGUUUUCCAAGAGCUAAGAUGAUCUUCGAGCUUUGCAACAACCUCCUGGUGCCGACGCCGCUCACCAUGAAGCUCAACUUCCAAAGCCGCCACUUUGUCAUGCAGUUGAUGCAUUUCAGCAUCAGCAGCUCGCAUGCUGGACGCUAGGCCUAGAGUUGGGAACGAAAGCUCCAGCAAUUCUUGUUCUAUCAAAUCCUCUUCCUUCUCAGUUUCAUUUGCAGCCUACACAGGUCAAGCAUCUAGGAAUUUAUAAGUCGAAUUAUUAACAUCUGCCGUCACAGAAAUAUGGCACAGAAAGAUAACAAAAGCAAUGAAUUCUCACCGUUCCUGUUGAGCCAGAGUUAAGAUCAAGGUCAUACCUGCCGUGUUUGUAAUUCUGUAACAAGAGACUCGGUUUCACUCA